rnacentral:rRNA from 1 species
GGACUACUCGGGUAUCUAAUCCUGUUUGAUCCCCACGCUUUCGUGCCUCAGCGUCAAUCGCUGUUUAGUUAGCUGCCUUCGCAAUCGGUGUUCUAAGUCAUAUCUAUGCAUUUCACCGCUACAUGACUUAUUCCGCCAACCUCAACAGUAUUCAAGACCUAUAGUAUCAAUGGCAGUUUCAGGGUUGAGCCCUGAGAUUUCACCACUGACUUACAGGCCCGCCUACACACCCUUUAAACCCAGUGAAUCCGGAUAACGCUUGCACCCUCCGUAUUACCGCGGCUGCUGGCAC